rnacentral:rRNA from 1 species
AGUGAACGCUGGCGGUAGGCCUAACACAUGCAAGUCGAACGGCAGCACAGUAAGAGCUUGCUCUUACGGGUGGCGAGUGGCGGACGGGUGAGGAAUACAUCGGAAUCUACUUUUUCGUGGGGGAUAACGUAGGGAAACUUACGCUAAUACCGCAUACGACCUACGGGUGAAAGCAGGGGAUCUUCGGACCUUGCGCGAUUGAAUGAGCCGAUGUCGGAUUAGCUAGUUGGCGGGGUAAAGGCCCACCAAGGCGACGAUCCGUAGCUGGUCUGAGAGGAUGAUAAGCACACUGGAACUGAGACACGGUCCAGACUCCUACGGGAGGCAGCAGUGGGGAAUAUUGGACAAUGGGCGCAAGCCUGAUCCAGCCAUACCGCGUGGGUGAAGAAGGCCUUCGGGUUGUAAAGCCCUUUUGUUGGGAAAGAAAAGCAGCAGGUUAAUACCCCGCUGUUCUGACGGUACCCAAAGAAUAAGCACCGGCUAACUUCGUG